rnacentral:sRNA from 1 species
GCUGGGUGUGGUGGCACAGGCCUGUCAUCCCAGCAACUCGGGAGGCUGAGGCAGGAGGAUCACAAGUUAGAGGCCAGCCUCGGCCACUAGGCGAGGGCCUCAGCAACUUAGAGAGAUCUUGUCUCAA